UACGGAAUGUGCAAACGUUAUUCGGAAUCACUGGGCUUAAAGAGUCUGUAGGCGGUUUGUUAGGUGAGGUGUGAAAUCCCUCGGCCCAACCGAGGAAUUGCGCUUCAAACCGGCGAGCUAGAGGAGGAUAGAGGUGGGCGGAACUGAUGGUGGAGCGGUGAAAUGUGUUGAUAUCAUCAGGAACACCGGAGGCGAAAGCGGUCCACUGGGUCCUUUCUGACGCUGAUGGACGAAAGCUAGGGGAGCGAACAGG
rnacentral:rRNA from 1 species